CAUGAUUAGCCGAGAGCUAGGAUUGUAUAGAGGGUAGUAGCAGUCGCCUCAACUCCGACUUGCAAAUAAAACAUUUUGUUUGUAAGUAAGGUGAGAAACAACGAUAAAGUUGGAAACUUUAAUUUUACUAAGAAAUUAAGGAACUGU
rnacentral:ncRNA from 1 species